AAUAAUUGGUCUGAGAGCCCAUUUAUUGCUGAAUAAAAAUUAAUUCAAACAACAAAAACUCGGACCAAAUGAUUCAAAAAUGAAAAGAAAACAAAGGAAAAUUAAAAAAAAAAAUAGCAAAUCUCAAAAAGGAAAUUACACAAAGAUAAAGAACUUCAAUCGCCUCUUCUCCUUGUUCAUCGUAGGACCAGAUUGAUGAUAUCAAUUCACUGAUGAAGAAGCACCUGACCAGUUGAAUUAUUAAAUCAAUUCAUUCUUCCACCAUAAAUUUCUAGCAUGAAGAAUUUGGGUGGAUUGCUCAAAGAGCAUUCAAAAACUCUCACAAAUGCCAAGUCAAUCAAUCCUUGAAGACGUCUUCAACUCCUUAGCUAAUGAUCCAGAAAAAGAAGAAAUCCUCAGCUAAAAUAACUCCACAGUCAUCUACAACUUGGUAUAUUGAAGAGAAAACCUUUUCAGUAUUCAACGUCAAUCAAUUUCUAAUUGAGUAUUUACGAAUUGUAAUCAGGUGUAUUACAUUGAAGCUCAACUAACCCUAUCCAUUUUUUCUCAGACUGAGCCAUAGACUAAUACCACUGCCAAAGGAUCAAAGGGAAAGGUACACCGAACAACUAUAAUACUCCCUUACUGCAUCAUGUUUUAAUCACUAAUUUGUGUCUCCAAACUUGGUUUAUGUUGUUAUAUUAUGAGGUUGUUGUGAUUUUGAGCUCCUUGUUUUGGUAUUUCCUGAUUCUGAGGUUCGGCAUUUGAAUGUUAUCCAUGUGCAGAAUUAUCUUUGCCUCUCUUGGUAAAUCCUGAAAUGUAUUGUAUAUUAGUUGUUGUGUACCUGCAAAAUAGUGAAUGUGGUUAGUUAAAAAUUCUGCGAGUAUGUUGCCUUCUUUGAAUGUGUGUGUCACUUCCACCAAUACAUUCACCAUUAACAUCUUCAUUUUCUUUAUCUCCAUUGAAAUAGCCAAGGCACCUCCCACACACCAUCUAAGACUUUCUUCAAAAUCAUAAAAUCUAUUUCAAUCACCAACAGGGUGUAGUAAUUGUUCAGGUGUUAUUCCAAUUCUAUCUUUAAUGCCAUGACUUCAGCUCUAAUACUUGGACCAUCAUUAAUCUUUUUUGUUUCUGCAUACAUCAAGUUACCUUCCCAAUUUCACACACAAAAGGUACAAGAGCUGCUCCCAAUCUCCCCUUUCGAUGAACCAUCUGUAUUACACUUGUAGACUGCUUCACCUGGUACUAACCAUUUUACUACUUGAACCUCAAUCCUAGGUAAGUAUUGUUCAAAAAACUGAAUGAUUUCAGGCCAUGUGGCUAGUAAGUGGGUUAACCAGGGGAAUCUAGUUCUGGCAAACAUAGAAAUAUUACUAUUAACUUCCAUCUUCAUCCUCCAAUAAGAAUAUUUACCGCCAUGUCUGAUUGUAUUCCUAGCCUUCCAAAUCUGCCAAAGAGUGAAGAUAAACAUAGCUUGAUACAAAGGUUUCACCUUAGUAUUGCAGUCAACAUUCCACCAUCUGUGUGUUGAGCAUUUUAGCUGUACAAAAGGACCUCUUACACCUUCAAUACAAGAAAAUGAUUGCCACAACCUAGUAGCUUUAUCACAAGUUAGAAAUAAAUGUUUCCAGAUUUCUAUAACUUGCUCAUUGUAGUAGCAAUAGAUCAUAUCAUCAGAGAUACCCAUUCUUCUAUUAAUCUCCCCAAUAGGAAGUCUCUCCUUGCAUAACCUCCAGAAGAAAAAGUUAAUUUUAAAGGUCAUUUCUUUAAUCCAUAUUAACCUAUAUACUUUUUUUUCCUCAGCUCUUUGUCUAAUCAACUCCUAGGCACUUCCCACGGUGAAUUUACCAGUGCUAUUUUUCAUCCACCAAGCAUAAUCCUAUUUGCCAUCUUUAAUUAUCUCUGGUAGUUCUUUGUAAAUACGCUGACAAAUGUCUUCAGGGAACAGUUGAGCCAUCAGCUCCUCAUUUCAGCCUUCAUCAUGCCAAAAUUGAUUUAUAUCCUCCACCUUAUAGUUAAAAAAAUGAUUGAUAGGAAGAUAGAAAUAAAGUGCACCCAGUUUAGUCCAAUUAUGAAACCAAAUACUAGAGUGUCCAUAUUUAGGUUCCCAUUAAAUUUCUUUAUCAAUAGAAUCUCUAGCUUUCAACAUAAAUUUCCAGGUUUGGGUGUAGCGCCCCAAAUCUGGCACCUGAAAUGCUACACGAUGCUCAUGACCCCGAAGGACCACAAGCUAACCCAUGACUGAUAUCUGAACGUGUUCACUGCAUAAAAUCAUGUAAAAUGCGGAAAUAGUAGGCUGAAACAUGCCAUAAGGCUCAAAAACUGAAUAAAACAUUUGAUAAAACCAUAUCCGAAUAAUGUGGUAUCACAAUACCAAAACUGAAGUAAAUGUCUGAAAAUACUGAAGUCUGAAUCUAGUCCAAAAGCCUCUAAUUGACUGAGCUGUCUGAAUAAGGAGUUGAUGGGACAUGUCCCCAACUAACUCUAUCCACUGAAAACUAAGCUGAAAUAAUGAAAUAAAUCAUCAUAUCGUCCUCGAAUAAUGAGAACUCACUGCUGAAAUCUGGAAUGCUACUGAUGCUCUGGAGCUCGUGCUUCUGAACCUAUGGUAUAAAACACCAUAGCGCAAAUGCGUCAGUACGAUUGAAUGUACUGGUAUGCAAGUGAGGUAGGCUGAAUGCAAAGGGUUUAUAUGCAUGAGCAAUAUUAGCUGACUGAAUAACAUGAACGUGAGAAUUCAUGCAUGAAUACGUGAACUGUAUCUGAGUUCGUGAGAUUACUGACUUCUGAGUCUGAAUACUGAUAUCAUGAGUUACUGAUAACUGAUAUAACUGAUACCGAGCGACUGUGUCUGAUAGUCUAGGGUCUGAUGGAACUAGCUGAGUUCCGUAUUGUUCUGAGUUGACUGUAUCUGACAGUCCUGAAGGCUGUAGAACUAUCUAAGUUCUAUUACUGAGAUUGAGACUGAAACUGUAAUUGUGAGAAGUAGUCAUCUAACCGACAUGCCCCAAAUAAAGCAAUAUAGUUGAGUUGGGGUCCAAUCUGUAACCCCAAUUAGAAGGGUGUCAAUACCGUGCCACCGGUAAAGAUAAGCUGUGGGUGACCCUCAUCUGACAGUGUCCCCAAAAGAGAACGGUCGGACCUCAUUUGACAGUGUUUAUCCACCUCAUCAACCCUCAUCUGUCAGUGUUGAUGUCUCAACCUAUGUUGGCUACAUAGUUCUGUAACGCAAGGAUUCUUCUAAGGAUCACACCUUUUUCUGUCAGUGUGUGUCCUUAUCCUUGGGUUCACUCGGUGCUAAAUCCUACUCCCAUAUGAAUAGACUCUGAACAUGAUUAAUUGAACUGAUCUGGACUGGGUUCAUUGAGUUUCGUUGACUGACGGAAUACUACUGAGAUUACUGAAUUACUGAGAUUACUGGGAUUACUGAGUUUACUGAGUUUUCCUGAGUCACACGACUGACUGAGUUCUAUGGAUCAUGGCUUGACUGAGAGUAUCUUGACAUGGAAAUGGCUCUUGGAACACAACUAAAUUAUCGAGUUCAAGUACUACCAGGACUCGAUAGAAGGAAACUGACAAGGCAUGACAUUCUUGAAUACAUGACCAACAUCAACAAUCCAUAAUACAAUAAGUUGGGGAUUUCAUGAAGUACAUGGUUAUCAUAAUCUUGUACAUGGUAGGAAUACAUAUAAUCAAUGUCAUAAUUUCAUAUUCUAAUAUCAUGAGCAUUCCAACAAACAUCUACAUUGCACACCAAUAGCAUGGGAGUCAUUUGAACAUAAGGGUAAAACAUGGAUUUAUCAAUUUUGGUCACAAAUGAGUCAUAAGGAAUAAUUCCUAUUCUUUUAGGCAUUUUAUCAAACACCUUGCAUGCAUAUCUUUAGGCUUAGGCAUGAAUAUUGAAAUAAUACAUCAUGGCAACAUUUUACACUUCCAAUGCAAGAAUUUCAACCAUAUACUAACAUAAUUUCAUGAUAAUCAUUACAGACUUCAACUUGGAAAUCAAACCACAACAUAAACAUGGAUAUAACUCAAUUCAUAUCAUGAAAUCCAAAGUUUAUAUUUCAAAUAGGGUUUCUUGAGCUUCAUGGGUGAAAGGAACCCAUGAAUCAACACUUGACAUACCUGGGUGGAUGAUUUCUUGAAGAUUGGUGGAGGAAAACUUGAAUUCUUGACUUGGGAUUAGACACCUAGGGUUUCUUGUUCUUGGGGAUUGAUCUUUGAGAGAAAUCCUAAUUUGGUGUGUGGAUGAAUAAUGAAGUUAUGAGCUCUGGUCUGUUAUAAUUAGGAGUUAAAACGGGUGGAAAAAGACCCAAAUACCCUUUUAAAAAUGGCUUAAAAUCGUUGAUCAACAGUGGUGACGGUUUAGGUGACGGUCCGUCGCUGGCUCGACGGUCCAUCGGUCCAUCCCGUCGUACUUGGCCAGAACCUGAACUUUCUGCCUCGUCUGCGACGGUUUGGGUGACGGUCCAUCACUAGCUUGCCGGUCCGCUGGUCCUAACCGUUGCACUUGGCCAGAAGAUAGGUUCACUGCCUUAGUCGCGACGGCUAGCGACGGACCGUCGGCCUGACCAUCGCUUCUGGGCAGUUUCGACAGUUCUCUGUAAAACGUCCAUAAGUUUUUACUCCGAUACCAGAUUUGGACGAAAUUGGUAUCGUUGGAAAGCUAAUUCAAUUUCUCACAUGAUAAAAAGUCAAAAUUGGGGAAAUUCUAUCUGAUUUAAAAAUUAAUCAUUUAGGAAGUCAUCACUAACUCUUCUGGAGACUAGAUAUGACUUAAAGAAAGUUUGGGGUAUUACAUUGGGACCCCCUCUUCUACCAAUUGAGGUCUAUGCCUUUUACAAUACUUAUUCCAUAAGAAAUUAGUCCACAUGAAUUUUUUGGUUUUGAAAAUGUCACGACCCGAUACUAUCCCCUAGUCGUAAUAUGGUGCUUGGAACCACAAGUGAUCCCAAGCUAACCCAUGAACUAGCAUACAACUUGAGCAAUAGAUUUAAAUUGUAUAAAAACUAAAUUUAUUGAGCGAAAACAUGAUUAUGAGAAAGUCUGAAUAAAUGUAAUACUGAUAAAGUUUACAACAUAUAAAACUGAAGAAAGAAACUUGAAUUACAUGUAAUGACUCUGACUGACUAUCUACGAAGCCUUUACUAUACUGACUGUAGGAGGUUGGGACAUGCCUCCAACUACCACAAAUCAAUACAUAAUAAUGAUAAUAGUACAGUACAUGAACUACAACUGACUGGAGUUCCCAAAAUAGGAGAACUCAUCACUUACUGGCUGAAAGCUGAGAACUGUCUAACCCUGGUGUAUGAGCUACAUCUGGUACCUACAUUAUGAAAGAUGUAGCCACAAACGCAUAUAUGUGGUCAGUACUUUAGAAUGUACUGAGUAUAUGGAGACAUGCACUAAAUUAUGAAAAUAUUUAAACAUGCUUUAAAAAUAAGGACAUAAGUUAUUUGCUGAAACAUAAAUUUAAAACAUGGCUAUACGUGAAAACUGUAAGUCAUAGUGAGAUUUAUAAAUCAUGAGCUAAAAAUAAUUUUGUAAAUUGUAACACGGUAAAACAUGAAUAUUGUAUGUGAAUCUCAUAUAAAGCUAAACAUGCUGUAAAACUAAACUGAGGAUCAUGUGUGGAUACUGAGCAUGAAAACAUGAGCAUGUAAAAUUGAGAAUGCAAGACCAAGUAAAACAUGUACUGAAAUGAUCUGAAUAACUGAAAAUUUGAUUACUUGGUCAAACAAUCCUGAACUUUUAUAGACUGAGUACUAACUGAAACUUUAGGAGCUAUCAUUUAACCGACAUGCCCUAAUCUGAUCUAAUCGGGGUCUAAACUGUAACCCUAGUUGGAAGGGUAUUAGUACCUUGCCACGGGUACUAACACAGGCUGACAAUGUGGAUCCACAAGGCUGAUAUCCCAUAGGACUAGGGAGUCACCCUCUACUAGCAGGUGCCUCUAAAAGAGUGUCAACCCGCUACUGGAUGGAAGACCUCUCAAAACCUACGCUGGCUGCGUAGUUCUGGAACUCAGGGACUACUACUAAAGGUCAAACCCUCUGUUGGAAGGUGAGCCCCCAUCCUUGGAUUUGCUCGGUGCUAAAUCCUACUCCCAACCGAAAGACACUGAAAUACUAUCUGGUGCAUACACUAAAGCUGAUAAGCUCAGGUCAUGGUCUUUUGAAAACAUCAGUUCAACAGAGUCUGAAGUAAUCAUAAACAUGUAAACUGAUAGUGCUCGACAUGAUUGUAACAAAUUGAGUUUAACAAUAAAAUCAUGGAUUGACUGACACAUUACUUGAAAAGUCUGAAAUGCAAGUAAACAUGUAGGUACAGGUAUUCAUAACCCGCCUACACUGAAUGAUUACAGAAUUCGAUAACAACACUUAAAACAAUGAUAUAAGGUCAUAAUUCAAAGACCCAAAACAUGAGAUAUUUUAAUAAUUGAGUGAAAUACAUGUACCUGAACAUGGAGAUGAGUUAAACUUGAGAAAACAACAUAUUCACAUGAUUUAAUUCAUAACUUGAAGAUUUUACAAGGAAUCACUUGAAUAGAACAUGAGUAAUUGAAAUUCAAAGCAUGAAAUAAACUAAUUUACAUGAGAACACAUGUUAACAUGGCUUGAAUUCUAAUUACUAAGAAAUAUAUGGAUUAAGUUCAUAAGUUGCAUGGAUAAUUUCAUAAAAUAGGAUAUAAUUCAUACUUUAAACCAAAAAAAGGAGUUUUUGGGCUCAAUGGGUAAAAGGAACCCAUUGAUGAAUACCCCACAUACCUCAAUGGUUAGAUUUUUGAAGAAUGCUUGAACUUGAAAACUUGAACUCUUGAAUUCUUGGGAGGAGAAACGUGAAUUCUUUGUUCUUGGGAAGGGGGAGGGUUUCUGCGUGAGUUAUUUUGAUGAUAAUGGGCAAAUAAAGCCCUUUUGAGUGUUAUAAGUCGUAUUUUGGACGACUAGCGUUCAAGGAAAAGGACCAAAUUACCCCUUGACCCCUUUAAUCAUGAAGCUGGAAAUACAACGCCUCUGUAUCGCAGACCCUAUAGCUGGGGAAUAGCCGAUGUGGUGCGGACCCUAUUUCGGGGGAAUAGCCUACGUGGUGUGGAUCCUAUUUCAGGGGAAUAGUCUAUGUAGUGGUACCCUAUUCCUGGGGAAUAGCCUACAUAGAUAAGACCCUAUUUCGGGGGAAUAGCCUACGUGGCGCGGAGCUAUCACUAACCCUUAGUGUUUCUCAUGAAAAUGGUCAUAACUUUUUGCUCGGAUAUCGGAUUAAGGCGAAAUCAGAUACAUUGGAAAGAGGACUCAAUUAUCUAUUAUUUGGUUGGUCUUGAGAUGAAAAAUUCCAUAUAUUUCAAAAGUUAUACACGUUCAAAGUUGACCCUUGUAGGAUCAAAUACCAAAAUUUGGCCGAAUCCAGAGCUCUUAACUCUACUUUGCUGUAAGUGUUUCCUAUGAACAUUUUUUACCUAGAUAACACUUGACACACUAGGAUAAUGAUCAUGACACAUAUAUUCACAUACAAAUCAUGGGAUUAGAGUUUAUACACGUAGAAAUAAUGGUUCGAAUUUUAGCCCAAAAAUGUGGGGUGUUACCGAAAAUCCACUAUAACUUGGAAAAUAGAGCCUUUGAUACAUCAAAAAGAGAUCUAAGCCCCAUACCUCCUUCCUCUUUUGGCAGACACAUAUCAUUCCAUGCAACCCAGUGCUUAUUCUUGCCUACUUCCUUGUCAUUCCACAUAAAUCUAGCAAAAACUCGAUGUAGAUCAUGUAUGACGCACUUUGGAGGAGAAAUAACAGAUAGAAGGUAAAUAGGAAUGUUCUGCAAUACAUUCUUUAUAAGAUCAUAUUUACCUCCAAAAGAUAGAAGUUUACCUUUCCAAGCCUACAACUUAUUUGAACUUUCUUAAUCAAAUCUGAAAAAUGAAAUUUCCUUUUCCUAUUAUGUAUGGCCAAUAGGGUAGCCAAGGUAAGUAAGAGGAAACUUUCCUUUAGUAAACCCAGUAACACCUUCAAUCUCUUGAAUAAUACUCCCAACAGUCUUAUUAUGGACAUAGAAGAAGCUCUUUUCUUCAUUAAUCUUUUGUCCUGAUUGUUAUUCAUAAUCACAAGGAGUAUGCAUAACUAGUUGCAUACUUUUCUUAUCUGUAGAGGUGAAAAUAAUGGUAUCAUCUGCAUAUGAUAUAUGAGUAAUAUGUUCACUCCAUUUAGGCAUUCCAAAACCCUUAAACUCCUUGUUAUUAAAUAAUUCACUUUAGUUUUUAGAUAACACUUCAGCAACCAAAAUAAAAAGUGCAGGUGAUAAUGCUUCACCCCUUUAGUAGAAUGAAAGAAACCGUGAGCUUGUCCAUUAAUUAAGACAGAAUAUCAAUUAUUCGAAAGCAAUCUCUAGAUUUUAUCAACUAUUCCUUUAUCAAAACCUAUUUUUUUCAAAACCGCAAUUAAGAAGCACCAUCCAACUCUAUCAUAAGCCUUAGUCAUAUCAAGUUUAAUAACCACAUUAGCAUGCUUAGCCCUUUUUUUUAUAUCAAUGAUGAUUUCUUGUGCCAACAAAACUUUUUCAAAAAUGCUCCUUUCUUUCACAAAAUCAGACUGAUUUUGAGAAAUAAGUCUUGGUAAUAAAUCCUCCAACCUAUCAUGCAGUAUGCUUGAAAUAAUCUUGUUGAGAAAAUUACUAAGACUUAUAUGUCUUAAAUCUGAAAAUGAUUAUAUCACUUCUUUUUUAGGAAUAAGGAUUAAAUUUGUAUGGGUAAUUGAUUUAGGAAGAGUCUGACCUUUAAAAAAGGCAUUAAUCACUGCAUACACACAUCUUUUCGUAAAAAUUUCCAACACCUUUGAAAGAAUAAGUCAUUGAAAUCAUCAGGACCAUAAGCACUGUCACCAUUUAACUCAAAAACAACACCAUUUAUCUCUUCUUCAGAAUAUAUGUCAUUUAAGCAUCUGUUUUCUUCCUCAGUCACUAUUUGAGGGAUUGCUUCCAGUAAAGAAAAUUCACCUUUAUAUAAAUGAGAAGUAAACUGGUUCUUGAAAAAAUUUAUUGCUUCAGUUGCUACCUGGUCUUUUCCUUCUGCCCAUUCUCCAUUAGCUUUUUAAAUCCUCUAAAUAUUCAAUCUAUUUCUCCUACCUUUGUCUAGACUAUGAACAAACUUGGUAUUAUGAUCUCCUUUAGAAAACCAUUGUAUACCAGCCUUUUGCCUCUAAUAAUCCUCCUCUAUCUUCAAAUAUUUGAUCAACUCAGCUGGGCUUGCCUCAAAAUAACCCUAUUAGCUCCAGUAGGGAGUUCUUCAAAUAACUCCAGGUUUAUCGACCUGGAAAAGGCUUACGACAAAGUCCCCAGGGAGGUGUUUUGGAGAUGCUUGGAGGUGAGUGGAGUACUGCAGGCAUAUAUCAGACUAAUUAAGGAUAUGUAUGACGGAGCGAAAACCCAGGUGAGGACGGCGGGAGGAGACUCAGAGCAUUUCACUGUCCUGACAGGAUUGCAUCAGGGAUCUACUCUUAGUCCCUUUUUGUUUGCGUUGGUGAUGGAUGUGUUGACGCGGCGUAUUCAAGGGGAGGUGCCGUGGUGUAUGCUUUUUGCAGACGAUGUAGUUCUGAUAGAUGAGACUCGAGGGGGUGUGAAUGAUAAGUUAGAGGUGUGGAGGCAAACUCUUGAGUCUAAAGGGUUCAGGGACGCGAGGGGGUGUGAACGACAAAUUAGAGCUGUGGAGGCAAACUCUGGAGUCUAAAGGGUUCAGGGUGAGCAGAACCAAGACAGAGUAUGUGGAAUGUAAGUUUAAUGACGUAAGGCGAGAGAAUGAGGUAGUGGUGAGGCUAGAAGCGCAGGAGGUAAAGAAAAGGGAUAAGUUCAAGUACCUCGGGUCCGUGAUCCAGAGUAACGGUGAGAUUGACGAGGAUGUCUCGCACCGUAUCGGGGCGGGAUGGAUGAAGUGGAAACUUGCAUCGGGGGUGCUGUGUGAUAAGAAGGUGCCGCCCAAGCUUAAAGGUAAAUUCUAUAGGGUGGUAGUCCGUCCGGCCUUGCUGUAUGGAGCGGAGUGUUGGCCAGUUAAGAACUCCCACACCCAAAGAAUGAAGGUGGCAGAAAUGCGGAUGUUGCGCUGGAUGUGUGGACUGACUCGAGGGGAUAGAGUUCGGAAUGAGACUAUCCGGGAGAAGGUUGGUGUGACUUCAGUGGAGUGUAAGAUGCGGGAAGCACGAUUGAGAUGGUUCGGACACGUGAAGAGGAGGGGCAUGGAUGCCCCGGUCCGUAGGUGUGAGAGGCUAGCGUUGGAUGGUUUUAGACGGGGUAGGGGUAGGCCGAAGAAGUACUGGGGUGAGGUGAUUAGGCGGGACAUGGAACAGUUACAGCUCACCGAGGACAUGACCCUAGAUAGGAAGGUCUGGAAGACGCGAAUUACGGCAGAGGAUUAGGGCCAGUUUGGGUCGCUAGUGUAGGGAUUACUUGGUGGGGGUUUUAUUCCUGUUAUGAUUCCGUGUUCCGUGUUACAUGUUUUAUUACGAAUCUGUGUGCUUUCCUCUGCUUCCCUCUGUUUUAUAUUACUUAUGGGUGCCGUAUUUAUGUUAUGUAAUCUGCUUCUGUGCUUUACUAUGUGUUUGUGUGGUAUCUCGUGCCUUGAGCCAGGGGUCUUUCGGAAACAGCUUUUCUACUUCAUCAGAGGUAGAGGUAUGGCAUGCGUACAUUUUACCCCCAGACCCCACUAGGUGGGAAUACACUGGGUUUGUUGUUGUUGUUGUUGUUGUUGUAAUAUCUUCCCUAAUUGCAAGCUGCUGAAAAAUAUCCCCCAACUUUUCUUUACCCCAUUUAGUCAAGGCUAUUUUUGACAUCUUCAUUUUUAAUUUCAAAUUUAUGAAAACAUCCUCAUGAGCAACAGAUUCCCAAGAAUUUUAAACUACUUCUUUGAAGCCUUCAGUAUCCACCCAAAUGUUCAAAAAUCUGAAAGGUCUAUUAGUAUGCUCUUCUAGACCUCCACAGAUUGAUAAAAGAGGGGCAUGAUCUGAUCCGAUCCUGUCCAGAUGUUCUAACUUUACCUUACCAGCAAUACCAUAAAAUUCUUGAUUAAUAAGCAAUCUAUCAAGUCUCUUGAAUAUACAUUCUGCAUCAGCUCUUUCAUUCCACCAUGUGAAGGGGCUAGCUUUAAAGUUCAUAUCUAAUAAUCCACAAAAAUUGAUAGAAAAGGAAAAAUCUUCAUAUUCUUGUGGAUAUACUAAAAGCCCUCCAAUUUUCUCUUCAGCAUCAAGAAUAACAUUAAAAUCCCCUCCCACAAGCCAAGGCAAUCUCAAGUUAUUAUGGACAACAUAUAUAUCACUCCACAAGUCCAUUCUUUGAUUAGAAUCUCAUUUUGCAUAUACAUAGGUGAUCACCAUUUCCUGACUAUCGUCCAUGAUCUUCAAUUUAAUAGUGAUCUGUUGUUCAAAAUCUGCCAGAACCUCUACUUGGAUGUUGUUUUGAACAAAAAUCCAUAUCUUCUCAUUUAUAUUACAAUUAGCAUAUUCCAUCAGUAAUUUUCUUUUAUAUUUCUGCAGUUGAUUAGCCUCCUGAAAUGGUUCCAUUAAGGCUAUAAAACUGAAUUUUUGAUGCCUGUGAAGCAUUUGAACCCUAUAAAAAGCAUGAUUAGUACUCACAGACCUUAUGUUUCAAAACAACAUUUUCAUAUUCAUUUAUCACAUGAUUUGGCUCCCUUUUUAGGAAAUACUCUCUUAACUUGAUGCACCUCUGAUUUGCCUCUAAUUCUCAACUGUGUUGUUGGUGAUAAUCUAUCUAUCCUCAUAACUUCUUUAAAAUUCUGAGAAUUGUUCUCUAUUUCUUUUUCUCUUCACUCUUCUCAUUAUAUUUGUGAGAUACUAGGUCAUGUAAUUUCUUAACAGGUGGUGAACUCCCAUUUUCCUGAAUUAGAAUUGGUAAAAUAACCAAGUCUUGCACUUCUUUUGUUGAUGUGGAUUCUAUCAUUUCUGUUUCACUUGCAGGUGGGUAUCUUUCAGUGGACUCAAAAUUAUCUGCUUCUUCCAAGGUGGUAUCUACUUUCAAGGGCUCAUGAUAUGUGGCAUUGGCUAGUUGAUCCUCAUGAUCUAUAAAUUCUUCUAUCUGUAAAGUAUUCUCCAGAAUUCAUUCACCGACGUCGUUGUUUUUACAGGUGAUAGUCAAACUAAAUGCAUCAUCUUCCUGGGCAUCGCCACUGUAAUGUGAAGAAGAAUUUAGCUUUUCAGCACUAAUCUCAUCUGUCAUUGUUGUGCUACUGAUGGAUUUUUCUUCUUGAUUACAAUUACAAUUCUCUGC
rnacentral:lncRNA from 1 species